rnacentral:rRNA from 1 species
AUUGAACGCUGGCGGAAUGCUUUACACAUGCAAGUCGAACGGCAGCACGGGGCAACCUGGUGGCGAGUGGCGAACGGGUGAGUAAUACAUCGGAACGUGCCCAGUCGUGGGGGAUAACGUAGCGAAAGCUACGCUAAUACCGCAUACGAUCUACGGAUGAAAGCGGGGGACUCGCAAGAGCCUCGCGCGAUUGGAGCGGCCGAUGGCAGAUUAGGUAGUUGGUGGGGUAAAGGCUCACCAAGCCUGCGAUCUGUAGCUGGUCUGAGAGGACGACCAGCCACACUGGAACUGAGACACGGUCCAGACUCCUACGGGAGGCAGCAGUGGGGAAUUUUGGACAAUGGGCGCAAGCCUGAUCCAGCCAUUCCGCGUGCAGGAUGAAGGCCUCGGUU